CCUACGGGUGACAGCAGUGGGGAAUAUUGGGCAAUGGGCGCAAGCCUGACCCAGCAACGCCGCGUGAAGGAAGAAGGCAUUCGGGUUGUAAACUUCUUUUCUCAGGGACGAAACAAGUGAUGGUACCUUAGGAAUCAGCCACUGCUAACUACGUGCCAGCAGCCGCGGUAAUACGUAGGUGGCAAGCGUUAUGCGGAUUUACUGGGGGUAAAGGGCUAGACGGCGGGACUGCAAGGCAGAUGUGAAAAGCACGAGCUCAACCUGGGGUCUGCAUUUGAAACUGUAGUACUUGAGUGCUGGAGAGGCAAGCGGAAUUCCUAGUGUAGCGGUGAAAUGCGUAGAGAUUAGGAGGAACACCAGUGGCGAAGGCGGUCUGCUGGACCGUAACUGACGCUGAGGCGCGAAAGCGUGGGGAGCAAACAGGAGUAGAUACCCCGGUAGUC
rnacentral:rRNA from 1 species